CAAAACACAUGUUUUGG
rnacentral:lncRNA from 1 species